rnacentral:rRNA from 1 species
GACGUAGGGCGCGAGCGUUAUCCGGAAUUAUUGGGCGUAAAGCGUCCGCAGGUGGCAGUUCAAGUCUGCUGUCAAAGACCGGGGCUUAACUUCGGAAAGGCAGUGGAAACUGAACAGCUAGAGUAUGGUAGGGGCAGAGGGAAUUCCUGGUGUAGCGGUGAAAUGCGUAGAGAUCAGGAAGAACAUCGGUGGCGAAGGCGCUCUGCUGGACCAUAACUGACACUCAGGGACGAAAGCUAGGGGAGCGAAUGGG